rnacentral:rRNA from 1 species
AUACGUAGGGUGCGAGCGUUGUCCGGAAUUACUGGGCGUAAAGAGCUCGUAGGUGGUUUGUCGCGUCGUCUGUGAAAUUCCGGGGCUUAACUCCGGGCGUGCAGGCGAUACGGGCAUAACUUGAGUACUGUAAGGGAGACUGGAAUUCCUGGUGUAGCGGAGAAAUGAGCAGAUAUUAGGAGGAACACCGGUGGCGAAGGCGGGUCUGUGGGCAGUAACUGACGAUGAGGAGCGAAAGCAUGGGUAGCGAACAGGAUUAGAUCCCCUGGUAGUCCAUGCCGUAAACGGUGGGCGCUAGGUGUAGGGGUUUUACACGACUUCUGUGCCGUAGCUAACGCAUUAAGCGCCCCGCCUGGGGAGUACGGCCGCAAGGCUAAAACUCAAAGGAAUUGACGGGG